UGCAAGUCGAACGGUAACAGGUCUUCGCGAUGCUGACUGGAGUGUGCGAACGUGGCUGNNGAUNNAGUGACGAAUGCGAGAACGUGCCUAGUAGUGGGGGAUAAGCUACUCGAAAGAGUAGCUAAUACCGCAUGAGAUCUACGGAUGAAAGCAGGGGACCUUCGGGCCUUGUGCUACUAGAGCGGCUGAUGGCAGAUUAGGUAGUUGGUGGGGUAAAGGCUUACCAAGCCUGCGAUCGUGUACGCAUGGUCUGAGAGGGACGACCAAGCCAGCAACUGGGACUGAGGACACGGCCCAGACGUCCUACGAGGAGGCAGCAGUGGGGAAUUNNUGGGACAAUGGGCGAAAGCCUGAUCCAGCAGAUGCCGCGUGCANNGAUGGAGAGGGCCCUCGGGUUGUAAACUGCUUUUGUACGGAACGAAAAGCCUGGGGCUAAUAUCCCCGGGUCAUGACGGUACCGUAAGAAUAAGCACCGGCUAACUACGUGCCAGCAGCCGCGGUAAUACGUAGGGUGCAAGCGUUAAUCGGAAUUACUGGGCGUAAAGCGUGCGCAGGCGGUUUUGUAAGACAGUGGUGAAAUCCCCGGGCUCAACCUGGGAACUGCCAUUGUGACUGCAAAGCUAGAGUGCGGCAGAGGGGGAUGGAAUUCCGCGUGUAGCAGUGAAAUGCGUAGAUAUGCGGAGGANNCACCGAUGGCGAAGGCAGAUCCCCUGGGCCUGCACUGACGCUCAUGCACGAAAGCGUGGGGAGCGAAACAGGAUUAGAUAGCCCUGGUAGUCCGGACGCCGCUAAACGAGUGUCAACUAGGUUGUUGGGUCUUAGACUGACUCNNGAUAGACGAAGCUAACGCGUGAAGUUGACCGCCUGGGGAGUACGGCCGCAAGGUUGAAAGCUCAAAGGAANNUGACGGGNNACCCGCACAAGUCGNNUGGAUGAUGUAGGUUUAAUNNCGAUGCAACGC
rnacentral:rRNA from 1 species